GAGCGAUUAGCUCAUUUGGAUAGAGCGACAGCCUCCGGAGCUGUAGGUGGCCGGUUCGAAUCCGGCAUCGCUCA
rnacentral:tRNA from 1 species